GAUGAACGCUAGCUACAGGCUUAACACAUGCAAGUCGCGGGACCGGCGCACGGGUGAGAAACGCGUAUCCAACCUGCCCUUCACCACGGGAUAACCCGGCGAAAGUCGGACUAAUACCGUAUGGGGGAGGAUGGGGCUGCGUCCGAUUAGCUUGGCGGCGGGGGACCGGCCCACCGUGGCUCCGAUCGGUAGGGGUUCUGAGAGGAAGGUCCCCCACACUGGAACUGGGACACGGUCCAGACGCCUACGGGAGGCAGCAGUGAGGAAUAUUGGUCAAUGGGCGUAAGCCUGAACCAGCCAAGUAGCGUGCAGGACGACGGCCUAUGGGUUGUAAACUGCUUUUAUGCGGGGAUAGGUACCGCAUGAAUAAGGACCGGCUAAUUCCGUGCCAGCAGCCGCGGUAAUUC
rnacentral:rRNA from 1 species